rnacentral:rRNA from 1 species
AGAGUUUGAUCCUGGCUCAGAUUGAACGCUGGCGGCAGGCCUAACACAUGCAAGUCGAACGGUAACAGGAAGAAGCUUGCUUCUUUGCUGACGAGUGGCGGACGGGUGAGUAAUGUCUGGGAAACUGCCUGAUGGAGGGGGAUAACUACUGGAAACGGUAGCUAAUACCGCAUAACGUCGCAAGACCAAAGAGGGGGACCUUCGGGCCUCUUGCCAUCGGAUGUGCCCAGAUGGGAUUAGCUUGUUGGUGGGGUAACGGCUCACCAAGGCGACGAUCCCUAGCUGGUCUGAGAGGAUGACCAGCCACACUGGAACUGAGACACGGUCCAGACUCCUACGGGAGGCAGCAGUGGGGAAUAUUGCACAAUGGGCGCAAGCCUGAUGCAGCCAUGCCGCGUGUAUGAAGAAGGCCUUCGGGUUGUAAAGUACUUUCAGCGGGGAGGAAGGGAGUAAAGUUAAUACCUUUGCUCAUUGACGUUACCCGCAGAAGAAGCACCGGCUAACUCCGUGCCAGCAGCCGCGGUAAUACGGAGGGUGCAAGCGUUAAUCGGAAUUACUGGGCGUAAAGCGCACGCAGGCGGUUUGUUAAGUCAGAUGUGAAAUCCCCGGGCUCAACCCGGGAACUGCAUCUGAUACUGGCAAGCUUGAGUCUCGUAGAGGGGGGUAGAAUUCCAGGUGUAGCGGUGAAAUGCGUAGAGAUCUGGAGGAAUACCGGUGGCGAAGGCGGCCCCCUGGACGAAGACUGACGCUCAGGUGCGAAAGCGUGGGGAGCAAACAGGAUUAGAUACCCUGGUAGUCCACGCCGUAAACGAUGUCGACUUGGAGGUUGUGCCCUUGAGGCGUGGCUUCCGGAGCUAACGCGUUAAGUCGACCGCCUGGGGAGUACGGCCGCAAGGUUAAAACUCAAAUGAAUUGACGGGGGCCCGCACAAGCGGUGGAGCAUGUGGUUUAAUUCGAUGCAACGCGAAGAACCUUACCUGGUCUUGACAUCCACAGAACUUUCCAGAGAUGGAUUGGUGCCUUCGGGAACCGUGAGACAGGUGCUGCAUGGCUGUCGUCAGCUCGUGUUGUGAAAUGUUGGGUUAAGUCCCGCAACGAGCGCAACCCUUAUCCUUUGUUGCCAGCGGUCCGGCCGGGAACUCAAAGGAGACUGCCAGUGAUAAACUGGAGGAAGGUGGGGAUGACGUCAAGUCAUCAUGGCCCUUACGACCAGGGCUACACACGUGCUACAAUGGCGCAUACAAAGAGAAGCGACCUCGCGAGAGCAAGCGGACCUCAUAAAGUGCGUCGUAGUCCGGAUUGGAGUCUGCAACUCGACUCCAUGAAGUCGGAAUCGCUAGUAAUCGUGGAUCAGAAUGCCACGGUGAAUACGUUCCCGGGCCUUGUACACACCGCCCGUCACACCAUGGGAGUGGGUUGCAAAAGAAGUAGGUAGCUUAACCUUCGGGAGGGCGCUUACCACUUUGUGAUUCAUGACUGGGGUGAAGUCGUAACAAGGUAACCGUA